rnacentral:sRNA from 1 species
GUCAGCCUAGCUGUCCAGGCACCCUUUUGCAAUUUUCGUUUGAAUUGAUUUUUUUAAAAGCACCUGAUAUACACUUUUCUUCUUAUUCUUCUCCUAGUCCUCUAUUCAAGGCCCUACCACAGAGACACACAGGAACGGAACUCAGAAUCACAAACAAAGAAACUUUGAUCCAAGAAAGAAAAUGAUCUUUAAAAAGACCCUCGUUUCAUGCUGGCCAAUGCUGAGAAAAUCUGCUCUGGAGGAUAUUUGGAGACGCUGAUUAAAAGAUGGUUGUCCCAGUGGAGGGGGAUUCUUAGUGUUACGUAGAUAGCAAGCACGAUGCAAAAGUGUUGAAGCAGGAGUGUAAAGAAUAAUUAAAACACCUGCCCAAGACCCAAGCAAGGAUAGGAUUUCCCAGACAUUCCCGAGGGAGAAAAUGCCAUGUCCUUUCCUUCUGGUGUCACAUCAGAAUCUGAAGGCUGCUAGAGAAGGGAGAGAAACAUGAAAGUGAGUCCCAUGCUGAUUGUUGUUGAAAUACCUAGAAAGAAACUGGCAAAGACUAUCCAAGGGAUGCUAAGACAUGUCCGAACUUAUAAAACAGUAGAACCUGAAUAGGAAUUUGAAGUUGUCUAUACUCUCCUCAGCCACACCCUGCCAUUUUACAGAUUGUCUUCUCUG